rnacentral:lncRNA from 1 species
UCCCGAGCACCGCCACAUCCCCACCUAAUGGUUCAGAGCGUUGGCUGAAUCACACAUGGGGAGAAGCAAUCGCUCGCCUCCUACACUCCGUCCUCCUCCGCGCUUGUUCCGCCAUGCGUGUCGAGCUUCUCCGCGACGACUAGAGGCCAGAGCAGGAGGAGGUGGCGCGCGAGAGGAGGAGCUCGACGCCGAACUGCGCCGCCUACAGCCC